rnacentral:rRNA from 1 species
CCGGUUGAUCCUGCCGGAGGUCACUGCUAUUGGGAUUCGACUAAGCCAUGCGAGUCGAGAGGGUUCGGCCCUCGGCUGACGGCUCAGUAACACGUGGAUAAUCUGCCCUUAGGUGGAGGAUACCCUCGGGAAACUGAGAAUAAUACUCCAUAGGUCUAGGAUGCUGGAAUGCAUCUAGACUUAAAGCUCCGGCGCCUAAGGAUGAGUCUGCGGACUAUCAGGUUGUAGUCAGGGUAAAGACCUGACUAGCCUACGACGGAUACGGGUUGUGAGAGCAAUAACCCGGAGAUGAUAUCUGAGACACGAUAUCAGGCCCUACGGGGCGCAGCAGGCGCGAAAACUUCACACUGUGCGAAAGCACGAUGAGGGAAUCCCAAGUGCCAGCUCGUAAGAGUUGGCUGUUUUUCUGUUUAAAGUGCAGAGAGAGUAAGAGCUGGGUAAGACGGGUGCCAGCCGCCGCGGUAAUACCUGCAGCUCAAGUGGUGACCGUUAUUAUUGGGCCUAAAACGUCCGUAGCCGGUUUAGUAAAUGCCUGGGUAAAUCGUGUAGCUUAACUAUACGAAUUCUGGGUAGACUGCUAAACUUGGGACCGGGAGAAGCUAGAGGUACUCCUGGGGUAGAGGUGAAAUUCUGUAAUCCU